rnacentral:lncRNA from 1 species
GAAAGGAGGGGAGAAGGUGACUGAAAAUCUUGGGAAAAUUACAUAAACAAAACGGCGGCCCACAAAACAAUUGAAAUUGGUUUUUGAAGAAAAACAUUGGGAGUUGUUGGAGAUUAUUACAAUCCAAAUAAGAGGAAAAACUACCAGCAGUGAGGGGAUGAUUUAUAUAUAUUCUAUACGCCAAUUAGGAGAAAAAAAAGUCAGCUGCUGUAAUUGAGAGAAGAGGGUUGCCUUGUUAGUUAAUUAAUACAUAUAUAUACCCACAAAAAUACGUGGACUAGGGCAGUAGAUUGAGGGAAGAAAUUGAAUCAAAGUUGGGUUAUUCUUUGGAGGUCAAACAUUGUAGCUAUUGGAAGGAAU